AGGGAAUUUUCGGCAAUGGGCGCAAGCCUGACCGAGCAACGCCGCGUGAGUGAUUAAGGCCUUCGGGUUGUAAAGCUCUGUUGUAAGGGAAGAACAUUCAGGAUAGGAAAUGAUCUUGAACUGACGGUACCUUACCAGAAAGCCACGGCUAACUACGUGCCAGCAGCCGCGGUAAUACGUAGGUGGCAAGCGUUAUCCGGAAUUAUUGGGCGUAAAGGGUGCGUAGGCGGUUUAUUAAGUCUAUGGUGAAAGUGCGGGGCUCAACCCCGUAUGGCCAUAGAAACUAGUAGACUUGAGUGCAGGAGAGGGCAAUGGAAUUCCAUGUGUAGCGGUAAAAUGCGUAGAUAUAUGGAGGAACACCAGUGGCGAAGGCGGUUGCCUGGCCUGUAACUGACGCUGAGGCACGAAAGCGUGGGGAGCAAAU
rnacentral:rRNA from 1 species